rnacentral:lncRNA from 1 species
UGGCUUUGCACGAUGAUCAUUAUUUAAGACUUGAGACCAAUAACCUUUUAGAAACUAGUUGGAGUCCUCAUCAUUUUCGGGUACGAAUUUUGGGUCUAAUAGAGCCUCUAGCUCCUUCUAAAACAUCUCUAACUUUAGCUUCAAUGAUGAUGCCUGAUGCUAUACAAUCCAUCUCGUGUCCUUGAUGCCAUGCAAUUGAGGAAUGGCGGCUCUAGC